rnacentral:rRNA from 1 species
CAUUAUUGAAAUAAACCUGAUGAGUUGCUGCUGGUUCUCUAGGGAGCAUGUGCACACUUGUCAUCUUUAUAUCUCCACCUGUGAACCUUUUGUAGACCUGGAUUUAUCUCUCUGAAUGUGCCUGGCAGAUUCAGGUUUGAGGAUUGACUUUGUCUUUCCUUGCAUUUUCAGGUCUAUGUUUUUCAUAUACCCCAUGUAUGUUUAUAGAAUGUAAUAAAUUGGCCUUUGUGCCUAUAAACUUAUACAACUUUCAGCAACGGAUCUCUUGGCUCUCGCAUCGAUGAAGAACGCAGCGAAAUGCGAUAAGUAAUGUGAAUUGCAGAAUUCAGUGAAUCAUCGAAUCUUUGAACGCACCUUGCGCUCCUUGGUAUUCCGAGGAGCAUGCCUGUUUGAGUGUCAUUAAUAUAUCAACCCUCUUCAGCUUUUUGCAUGUUGAGAGUUGGAUGUGGGGGAUAUUUUUUGCUGGACUCUCUUUUGAGGUCAGCUCCCCUAAAAUACAUUAGCAAAACAAUUUGUUUACUGCUCAUUGGUGUGAUAAUUAUCUACGCUAUUGACGGUCAAGCACAGUUUAGCUUCUAACAGUCCAUUCACUUGGACAAACUUCUAUCAAUGUG